UACAGAGGGUGCAAGCGUUAAUCGGAAUUACUGGGCGUAAAGCGUGCGUAGACGGUUACAUAAGUCGGGUGUGAAAGCCCCGGGCUCAACCUGGGAAUUGCAUUCGAGACUGCGUAGCUAGGGUGCGGAAGAGGGAAGCGGAAUUUCCGGUGUAGCGGUGAAAUGCGUAGAUAUCGGAAGGAACACCUGUGGCGAAAGCGGCUCACUGGACCAAUACUGACGCUCAUGUGCGAAAGCGUGGGGAGCAAACAGG
rnacentral:rRNA from 1 species